UACGUAGGGGGCAAGCGUUGUCCGGAUUUACUGGGCGUAAAGAGCGUGUAGGCGGCCACGCAGGUCCGUUGUGAAAACUGGAGGCUCAACCUUCAGACGUCGACGGAAACCGUGUGGCUAGAGUCCGGGAGAGGUGAGUGGAACUCCGAGUGUAGAGGUGAAAUUCGUAGAUAUUAGGAAGAACACCAGUGGCGAAGGCGGCCUUCUGGGUCGACCCUGACGCUGAGGCGCGAAAGCGUGGGGAGCGAACGGG
rnacentral:rRNA from 1 species